AAUUUCAAAAAAGUCUUGGAAUGAUAUAGCUAAUAUAUGAAAUUUAUCUAUAUCAAAAGUUUGUGAUUUUUUAAUGUUUUCAAGCAAGUAAGGUAACUGUAUUUAUAUUAGAUUUCUUUGAAGAAAACUUUAAGCUUAUUGCAGAAAAUGAAAUGCCACAAAGUUUUAAAUGUUUUGAUUGUUUGAAAUUAAAAAAAUAUCCUUCAAAUGGCUUUAUAUUUAGAAAAAUAAGUCUAAAAGUCCAAAGAAAAAAAUAUGAAGUAUAAUGUAUUUUUUUCCUACAUGAAAUUAACAACAUUAUCUCUCAAAUUUCCUAUUUGGUCAAUUUCAAAGAGGCGGUUUUUGGAAAAAUUUAAAAAUUUAUAUUGGUAAAUUUUUAUAAUAACAUUUAAGAAGAUUAGAAACCAAUUUUGUUGUACUUAUAAUUCUUUGAAUCAUAAUAAAGACUAACGUAUUUUAACUUGUAAUAAAAUAUUAAUUUAGUUUAUGUCAUGGCUUCUUUUUAUUUAAAACUAUAUCAAAAGGCAUAGGUUCUCAAAUGAAGACUUUUCUUUAUCAAAGAAGAGAUCUUUGUAAGUCUUUUGAAUUUUGGCCCUUUAGAGUGGACUUUUAAUUAAGAAAUGCCCUUAAAUUUCAAUGAAUAAUAAGUAA
rnacentral:lncRNA from 1 species